CCUACGGGAGGCAGCAGUGGGGAAUAUUGCGCAAUGGGCGAAAGCCUGACGCAGCGACGCCGCGUGAGGGAUGAAGGUCUUCGGAUCGUAAACCUCUGUCAGCAGGGAAGAACGGUCACUGUGCUAAUCAGCAGUGAAUUGACGGUACCUGCAAAGGAAGCACCGGCUAACUCCGUGCCAGCAGCCGCGGUAAUACGGAGGGUGCGAGCGUUAAUCGGAAUUACUGGGCGUAAAGCGCUCGUAGGCGGUAUGUCAAGUCAAGGGUGAAAUCCCCGCGCUCAACGUGGGAACUGCCUUUGAAACGGGCAAACUGGAGUGUGUGAGAGGAUAGUGGAAUUCCAGGUGUAGGAGUGAAAUGCGUAGAUAUCUGGAGGAACAUCAGUGGCGAAGGCGACUAUCUGGCACAUAACUGACGCUGAGGAGCGAAAGCGUGGGUAGCAAACAGGAUUAGAUACCCGAGUAGUC
rnacentral:rRNA from 1 species